rnacentral:rRNA from 1 species
AACGAACGCUGGCGGCAUGCCUAACACAUGCAAGUCGAACGAGACCUUCGGGUCUAGUGGCGCACGGGUGCGUAACGCGUGGGAACCUGCCCUUAGGUUCGGAAUAACUCCCCGAAAGGGGUGCUAAUACCGGAUAAUGUCUUCGGACCAAAGAUUUAUCGCCUUUGGAUGGGCCCGCGUUGGAUUAGCUAGUUGGUAGGGUAAAAGCCUACCAAGGCGACGAUCCAUAGCUGGUCUGAGAGGAUGAUCAGCCACACUGGGACUGAGACACGGCCCAGACCCUAAGGGAAGGAAGAAGUGGGAAAUAUUGGAAAAGGGGGGAAAGCUGGAUCAAGAAAGGCGGGGGGAGUAAUGAGGGCCUAAGGGUGGAAAAGCUCUUUUACCGGGAUGAUAAUGACAGUACCGGGAGAAUAAGCUCCGGCUAACUCCGUG